CCUACGGGAGGCAGCAGUGGGGAAUUUUGGACAAUGGGGGCAACCCUGAUCCAGCAAUGCCGCGUGAGUGAAGAAGGCCUUCGGGUUGUAAAGCUCUUUUGUCAGGGAAGAAACGGUAUGAUCUAAUACAUUGGGCUAAUGACG
rnacentral:rRNA from 1 species